rnacentral:rRNA from 1 species
UGCGAAGGGGGCUAGCGUUGUUCGGAAUCACUGGGCGUAAAGCGCGCGUAGGCGGAUUGUUAAGUCGGGGGUGAAAUCCUGGAGCUCAACUCCAGAACUGCCUUCGAUACUGGCGAUCUUGAGUCCGGAAGAGGUGAGUGGAACUCCUAGUGUAGAGGUGGAAUUCGUAGAUAUUAGGAAGAACACCAGUGGCGAAGGCGGCUCACUGGUCCGGUACUGACGCUGAGGUGCGAAAGCGUGGGGAGCAAACAGG